CAUGUAGGCGGCUGUGCAAGUCGUGUGUUAAAGCCCCUGGCUCAACUGGGGGAGGUCAUGCGAGACUGCGCGGCUGGAGGACAGUAGAGGCACAUGGAACUCCCGGUGUAGCGGUGGAAUGCGUAGAGAUCGGGAAGAACACCCGUGGCGAAGGCGGUGUGCUGGGCUGUUUCUGACGCUGAGAUGCGAAAGUGUGGGGAGCGAAACG
rnacentral:rRNA from 1 species